rnacentral:lncRNA from 1 species
AGAGCAAAGGGAAGGGCACAGAGAGUGUGCAGGGUGGUCCUUGUCCCUGCCCAAGCUGCAAGAGGCUCUGCGAAGGUCCCUCCUGCCCCUGUCCACCUUGCACAGUCCUAGCCGGGGGAGGAGGGGAGAAAUCUGGCGUGCCAGGAGCUGGCAACUGCCCAGCCCUUCCUGGAUGUGGUGAGAGAUGAAUCUCCAGCCCUCGGGUGGGCCCAGGUGCACCCAUGAAUCAGGGCUCGUGGGCAGCUCCCACUCACUGGUCCUCACUCAGCCGUGUCUGGGGAGUGUCUCUGACCACCUGCUGGCCAUCUUGACCACAGGGACUGAGGAGUCCGUCCUGAACCGAAGCAUGAUCCUGUUAGCUCUUCCAGCUCUCCAGGCGCCAACGACCAUAUGGUCUCGGUAACGACUGGUCAGGGAGGAGAAGGGACAUGGGACCUGCUGGGCUUUCUGCAGCCCACUAGAAAAUGGGGAAGAGGAGGGGCUUGGUCCCUGUUCCAGGCACUGGGUUUGAGGGCUGGACA